rnacentral:rRNA from 1 species
CCAAUAGCGUAUAUUAAAGUUGUUGCAGUUAAAAAGCUCGUAGUUGAAUUUCGGGAUCAAUAUGCCGGUCAUGCCUUGGUAUGCACUGGUAUCUUUGAUUUCUCCCUUCUGACGAACUUUGAUGUCAUUAAUUUGGUGUCAUAGGGAAUCAGGACUGUUACUUUGAAAAAAUUAGAGUGUUUAAAGCAGGCUCACGCUUG